GCUGAGAGCAGAGAAAUGAUUUCCAUAGAGUGGAGGCUUUGCAUGGUCAGCUGAUCCUCCAGUGAACUGAGAAGGUUUAUAGUCCUGUGAGUUCAACACUGCAGGACUCAGAUCUGUCAGUCAAGCCAGCAGAAGCAACAAGCACCAUGACCCUCAUCACCAUCCUCAUCUGGACGCUGAGCUGCUGCUGUUUUACAGGAUGCAGAGCUCAGAUCACUGUGACUCAACCUGCAGUGAAGACGAUUACACCAGGAUCCACUGUCACUAUCAACUGUAAAACAAAUCAGAAUGUUUACAAUGGAAUUUCUUUUUCUAAUAUUGGUUCUUAUCUCAGUUGGUACCUGCAGAAACCUGGACAGCCUCCUAAACUUCUUAUAUAUUAUGUUUCAAAUUUGUUCUCAGGAACUCCAUCUAGAUUCAGAGGCAGCAGAUCUGGUACUGAUUACACUUUAACCAUCAGUGGAGUUCAGGCUGAAGAUGCUGGAGAUUAUUACUGUCUGGGUUACCAUGGUAGCGACGUGUUCACACAGUGA